rnacentral:tRNA from 1 species
CAAAUUAGAGCUUGGUAAGUAUUUCAUUUACAUUGAAAGGAUAUUAAUGAUAUUAAUUAAUUAAUUUGA